GACGAACGCUGGCGGCGUGCCUAAUACAUGCAAGUCGAACGCAGGGGGGACGGGUGAGUAACACGUGGGUAACCUCCCAUCAGAGGGGAUAACACUUGGAAACAGGUGCUAACCCCAUACUGAUGGAUGAACCCGCGGUGCAUUAGCUAGUUGGUGGGGUAACGGCUCACCAAGGCGACGAUGCAUAGCCGGCCUGAGAGGGUGAUCAGCCACACUGGAACUGAGACACGGCCCAGACUCCUACGGGAGGCAGCAGUAGGGAAUCUUGUGCAAUGGGCGCAAGUCUGACGGAGCCACGCCGCGUGGGUGAAGAAGGCUUUCGGGUCGUAAAACACUGUUGUUAGGGAGGCGUUACCCGACCAGAAAGCCACGGCUAACUACGUGCCAGCAGCCGCGGUAAUUC
rnacentral:rRNA from 1 species